UCAUCAUCUUGACGACGUCGGGAUAGUUCAGCAGCGAAAUUACGCUGCCAUCCCAGCUUUCCU
rnacentral:sRNA from 1 species